GAUGAACGCUGGCGGCGUGCCUAAUACAUGCAAGUCGAGCGAACAGAUAAGGAGCUUGCUCCUUUGACGUUAGCGGCGGACGGGUGAGUAACACGUGGAUAACCUACCUAUAAGACUGGGAUAACUUCGGGAAACCGGAGCUAAUACCGGAUAACAUAUUGAACCGCAUGGUUCAAUAGUGAAAGGCGGCUUUGCUGUCACUUAUAGAUUGAUCCGCGCCGUAUUAGCUAGUUGGUAAGGUAACGGCUUACCAAGGCAACGAUACGUAGCCGACCUGAGAGGGUGAUCGGCCACACUGGAACUGAGACACGGUCCAGACUCCUACGGGAGGCAGCAGUAGGGAAUCUUCCGCAAUGGGCGAAAGCCUGACGGAGCAACGCCGCGUGAGUGAUGAAGGUCUUCGGAUCGUAAAACUCUGUUAUCAGGGAAGAACAAAUGUGUAAGUAACUGUGCACAUCUUGACGGUACCUGAUCAGAAAGCCACGGCUAACUACGUG
rnacentral:rRNA from 1 species